rnacentral:rRNA from 1 species
UUUAUGGAGAGUUUGAUCCUGGCUCAGGAUGAACGCUGGCGGCGUGCCUAAUACAUGCAAGUCGAGCGAACAGACGAGGAGCUUGCUCCUUUGACGUUAGCGGCGGACGGGUGAGUAACACGUAGGUAACCUACCUAUAAGACUGGGAUAACUUCGGGAAACCGGAGCUAAU